rnacentral:rRNA from 1 species
CAAUAGCGUAUAUUAAAGUUGUUGCGGUUAAAAGUUCGUAGUUGGACAUCUGUCGAAGACGAGGGGUCCAUCCUUUGGGUGUGUAUCUUACUCGGCUUGGGCAUCAUCUUGAAGAACACUGCUGCACUUGACUUUGUGGCGCGGAAUUCAGGACGUUUACUUUGAGGAAAUUAGAGUGCUCCAAGCAGGCACACGCCAAUAUACACUAGCAUGGAAUAAUAAAAGUGAAUCUUGGUUCUAUUUUGUUGGUUUCUAGAACUGAGAUUUUGAUUAAUAGGGAUGGUUGGGGGCGAUUCGUACUUAACUGUCAGAGGUGAAAUUCUUGGAUUUGUUAAAGACGGCCUACUGCGAAAGCAUUUGCCAAAGAUGUUUUCAUUGAUCAAGAACGAAAGUUAGGGGAUCGAAGACGAUUAGAUACCAU